GUAACUAAAUAUUGUAUAGGUGCUUCAAGAGAAGAUAAUAGGGAAAGAGGUGAAAUUCCUCUACAGCCCCCGCUACUGUAAGGAUGACGAAACCUUGUGACCACUGGUGAAAUCGGGAAGGAAAAGGAAGUAGAAUGAAUCCGAGUCAGGAGACCUGCCUACACGAAUUUGAGAAA
rnacentral:ncRNA from 2 species